GGUAUAUCCAGCUACUAAAUAUGUGAUUAUGCUAAGUGCUGAUGGGGAGAAUUAUUUUGAAGUUAGUUCUAAUUUAGCAAAUUUUUUACGAAAUACAAUUAAUAAUUUACACAAUAAAGAAGCUCAAUAUAUUAAGUUACAAUUAAUGGCACCUAACCCUGAAUUUGCAAUUCAAGAAGAUUACAUACAUCCUAGUAACAAAACAACAGAAUUAAACACAGAGAUAUAUAACGAUAAUAAUAAAGAAGGUAGUAAUCUAUUAUGUUAUGGAAUAAAAAAAAUUUCUGUUUAUAGUAACAGAAUAAAAACAAUUGUAGAUGAUUGUGAUACAAUAAAAGAUUCAGAUGAUGCAAGAGAUAAAUAUUUUUUUGAAUUUGUAUCAGAAGUAAAUUUACAAGAAGGAAAAGAAUUAAAAAAAUUAGAUGGGGAAUUACAACAAUAUGCUGAAAAAAUUCAAAAUGAAGCGUUAAAUAUACAAAAGUUAAAUUCGCAAUUGAAAAAAUGUAAAGCAGAAAAAGAAAAAAAAUAUAGUGAUAUAAUGAAUAUUAAAAAUGUUAUAUUAAGAAAUAUUUAUGACGUAAUAAAUGAAACAGAAAAUAUAAUAAAAUCAAAUACAAUUAGUAUGUUAAUAGAUACUACAUCUACUAACGAAUUAGGACAUACACCUGAAUAUCCAGCAGAUAGUUGUAUUCAUUUAAAAAGUAUAUUUCCCAAUAUUUCAUCCGGUUUUUAUUAUGUAUUAACACCAUGUGCACAAAAUGUAUUACGAGUUUAUUGUGAUAUGAAACUUGGUAGUAUGUAUUAUAUUCCACCAAUAGAUGCAAUUUUAAUUAAUAAAUUAAAAGAUGUAGAAAAUAUUUGUGCCACUUAUGGUUUAAAUCCCAUCCAUUUACAUCAUGAAAGUCAAAUACAAUCAAUAAAAUGGUUGUUACAUUUGAUGAAUAUAAAAAAAACGGUUCCUUUAGCUAUACGAAAUAAAACAGAAGAUUUUUUUUCAUUAGAUAUGCAAGAAAAUGUACAAUCUAUUAUUUCUAAGUUUGGUAAUCCAAUAAAUAAUACAUUUGGUAUUAACAAUGAAGGUAUAACUUUUUUUGAUUCUACAAAUACAGAAAUGGGUGCAUUUGUUUGUUCUGAUAAUUUAGAUUCAAUUAAUUUACCAGAACCUUUUGUUAAUCUGAAUUGUCAAAGUACAUUGAAAGAUGCGAUUGAAAUAGAAAAAAUACUUGGUUAUGAAUAUUUAAUAAGAUGUCCUUCGAAUUGUUUAGAAAAAGGUAUUGAAGCAACUGUGAUAGGAGGAGGUGAAGGUAAUAUUUAUAGUGAAAAUAGUGCUAUAUGUUUAUCUGCUAUUCAUGCUGGAGUAUAUGAUAAACAUUAUUUAAUAUAUUUGAGAGUAGUAAAUGCAUUAAAUGAGUAUGAAGGUAUAUUUCAAAAUGGGAUUAUAUCUGAAAGUUUUAUAAAUGGUACUGACAAUAGUGGAAAUAAUCAAGAACAAUUAGGUUUUAAAAUAUUUAAUGUUCCUCCUAAAUGUCCCAACGAUAAACCCGGAUUUAAUUUUGUAUUUGUAGAGAUGAUGGAUAAUAUAGAUACAUUAUAUUCUAAAGAAAAUAUUUAUAUGGAUGUAUCCACAUCAAAUGCAAUAAAUGAUUUAGUUACAAUUGUUAAUAAACAAGUAAGUAGUACUGAUCCAACAUUCCUAGGAUUAAUAAACAAACAAGUAAUAAAAAUAGUUUCUAAUGCUAGAAGAUAUUUAAAACCAACUGAAAAAUAUGAAAAAAAUAUUGAAUUAUUAUCUAAUGAAACUUUAAAAGAUGUUCAAAAUGUAUCACAUAAAAUAAAAGUUCUAUCUUCUAAAAUUACAUCCGAAUUAAAUAAAAGAAAAUAUAAAUUAGAAUCAUUAAUUACUGAAAGAUUAAGACAAACUGAAUUCGAAUCAUGGGCAUUAACAAGUGUAACAGAUACAAUAUAUGAUACAUUUGAAAUUAUUAAUGUAAUAGAAUUACAAAAAAGUAAAUGGGAAUUAAUAGAUAAACCAUUAAAUGAUGGAAUGGUUGGUAAAACAUUAACUCAAAAUGUACGUAUUUAUUAUCCAUAUGGUGAAAAUGCUAUUUUUAAUUUAUUUAAUGGUACAUAUGCUUUUCUUCGAUAUAAACUAUUUUAUGAUUUUAUUUUUUCUACACAUAUUAAUGUUAAAGGAACUGGUUCAGUAGGACUUUUAUUCAGAGUAUAUGAUAAAUAUAAUUAUUACAUGUUAGAGUUAAAUAAUGGAAGUAUAAAUAAUCCAAAUAAUAAUAAUAAUAAUAAUGGAUUUAAAAGAUUAUUAAAAGUUCAAAACAAUGAAAUAAAUGAAUUAAUUAUAAUUAAUGAAAAUGGUUUUGAUCAAUCUACUUGGUUUUCAAUACGAAUUGAAUGUAUCGGUACAACCAUAAAAAUAAAUAUAAUCAAAACAAAUAAAAUUAUUUAUAAUUUACCACCACCUGAUAUAGUUAUAAAUGAUGAUUUUCAAUCUGCUGGUACAAUUGGUUUUUAUACAUAUGGUAUUUCAAAUGUUGAAUUUAAUAAACCGAUGGUAGAAUCAUUAGAGUGUAUAUCCAAGGUUAGAAAACAAAAACAACAAAUAUCACCACUUAGUUGUAAUAUAUACCAAGAAUUUUAUGUAAAUAAAUUUUUUAAAUCUUAUGAUGUAUAUGAUCCAGAAGGUGCAAUAGAUGGACCAUCUUACUGGGAUUUUAUGAAUAAUAUAGGAAACGAAAAUCAUGUUAUUGCACAAAAAUCAAAUAUAAAAGGAAAUGAAACUGAUAAAAUUCCUUCUCUUAUUAUUUUACGAAAUAAAAUAUGUCAUAAUGGAAUAUUAAAUUUUUCUAUUUAUCCACAAUGUGGUAAUGGUGAUAAUUCUAAAAACAGUAACGGUAUAAUCGGUGCUGUAAUAAAAUUUUCUGAUAUUAAUAAUUAUACUUUAUUAGAAAUUGGAUCUACUUUUACAAGAAUAAGACAAAAUGUAAAUGGUGUUUUUCAUUUACUGGCAAAAUCAGUUAUAUCAGGAUAUAAAGAAAAUAUUUGGAAUAAAGUUACUAUAACUUUUAACAAUACUAGUAUUAAUGUUAAUACACAUGAUGGUUUAAUGACAUAUCCUGUAUUCAGUUUGAUAGGAUUAAAUUUAAAAGAAGGUUAUCAAUUAGGUUUUACUUCUUAUAAUUGUAACAUGGUAGCUUUUAGUAAUAUUCUUAUACAUCCUUUCGAUUUUAAACCUUAUAGUCCUUUCCCUUCCACUAUAUCAGAAGAAUACAUGAUUCCAACAUUUACCAAAAUAAGUGAAAAACAUAUUAAAAUGCGAAAUGAUUUUAAUAAUACAUUUAAAAAUGAUAUAUAUUCUGACCAAACAAAAGCAGACUAUACUAACUCAAAUGAAUAUGAUCUUAGUAUUAAUAAUAAUAAAAUAAAAAAAGAUAUAUAUUAUUGUGCAACACAUAAAGAUAUUGUAGAUAGAUUAACAUAUUGUAAUAAAUACGAUAAAGACAAUCCUAACUGUGUCA
rnacentral:lncRNA from 1 species